rnacentral:rRNA from 1 species
UACGUAGGGUGCAAGCGUUAAUCGGAAUUACUGGGCGUAAAGCGUGCGCAGGCGGCUUUGCAAGACAGAUGUGAAAUCCCCGGGCUUAACCUGGGAACUGCAUUUGUGACUGCAUGCUGGAGUGCGGGCAGAGGGGGAUGGAAUUCCGCGUGUAGCAGUGAAAUGCGUAGAUAUGCGGAGGAACACCGAUGGCGAAGGCAAUCCCCUGGGCCUGCACUGACGCUCAUGCACGAAAGCGUGGGGAGCAGACAGG